UUAAGUUCAGCGGGUAUUCCUACCUGAUUCGAGGUCAACUCUAAAAAAAGUUUGGGCGUUUUACGGCAGUGGCCGCGCCGCGCUCCUGUUGCGAGGUUGUGCUACUACGCAGAGGAGGCCGCGACGAGACCGCCAAUUCAUUUCGGGGGCGGCGUGAACCCCCCGGAGGGGCUUCGCUCGCCGGUCCCCAACACCAAGCC
rnacentral:misc_RNA from 1 species